rnacentral:lncRNA from 1 species
CUUCUUUAUCUUCUUCAUCUUCCUUUCCUUUCUCAUCUCCCACGUUCAACUUUAAAACAAAUAUAUAGAGAAAAAUGAUAACAAAAAUUGAAAAGAAAUCAACAAGAAAGGUCUUUUCUUUGUAUUUCAUAUUCUUUAACCCUAUAUUCACAUAAUCACUGGUUGAUCUUUAAUGAAUAUGUAGAUCUUACUUUUAUUGGCUUUGUUUUAUUAUCAUUUUUCACACUCUGUGGUUCAGUAAUUGACCGGAGACUAUACCAUAUAAGGCCUAAUCACAACUUAGUCUUCUUUUUUAUUUUUUCUUUAUUUAGGAGAUCAAUUGUUAAAGAUAUGAACUUGGUACUAUUUUUAUGAUUUUAUGUGGAGUUUUUAUGUUCUUUUGUUCAUUUUGCACUUAUAAUUUUACUGAAUUGCAGUUUUUACAUUAUGUUUUAAUAGUUAACAGUUUCAUGAAUGAUGAAGUUUAUGUUGCCAUAUAGAAUAGUUUGUGAUGAUAUACUUCAUAAACUUUCACUUAUGUUAAAUUUGUAAUGAUAAAAUUUAUAUUGUAAAUUAAAAAUUACUUAUAAAAUUGGGCAUUACAACAUAUGAAAGACAAAUUGUGUUACAUAUUUUACUUUUGACUCCAAUAUGAAUAUCUCAAUUUAAAUCUUUGUUUUAUUUUCUCUUUCUUUUUACAGGUAUAAAAGGUGAGAAUUGAAGCAAGAUUGAUUGCAAGCUAUGUGUCACCACAUUAUUGAUACUUUGGAAGGAAUUUUUACUUAUAUGUCUUUGUUUAGGAAUAAUUUUUGAUAUAUUUUAGUUAGAUUUUUU